GGGAGAUAAUUUUAUCUUUUUAUAAAUUGGUCGUUUUUCGCUCGAGCCAAUCUCUUGGGGAUGCAUCCACCUGGGGCCACUUCCAGUUAUCUCCUUGAAGUUUUUCAGACUUCUACAUGUGGCAUGAGUUAGCCACAGGGCCGAUUUGUGGUAAUUAAUUAUUAGGUCAAGACUUACUUGAGAAAGGCGUGGUCAAGACAAAUUCCUUUGCCACUCCAUCUGCAUGGCAAAGUUUGUCUCUGAUUUAGUUUUAUUUUGGAAGUAGAGCCAUUUGGAGUCGUGGCUUUAUGCGGAGACCCCGCAUUAAGUUUCCCACAUUUGGCAAGCCCUGAGUUUUAUUUACUGACCCCAUGCCAGCUUCAAAGCAGAAUCACAGAGUUGUUAGGAUUUAGCAGAAUCCGCCAAGGUGGAGUCAAUUUUGUCAUUCUGUUACCUCCAAGGCUUCCUGAUUUGGCUCUGAUUGAGGGGACGUGGCUUGAAUACCGGCUCCAACAUCUUCUCGCUGUGUGACUGAACGGGGCAAGUUAUUUAAACUCUCUGCACCCCAUAAAGUAGAACCAAACGUCCCACCGAGAAGACUUCCGGCACAUCGCAUCGCGUGCUUCCAUUUUCUCACCUGAUAAAGGCCCUUCCAACAAGAUUCAAGAGCAGUUUUCUCCAGUAUCUCUUCCAGUCGAUGAAAUCUCCUGGUGGAAGCUUAUGAAGAGGUUGUUUAGGAAGACAUUGUGGGAAGGUGGUCUUCACUUUUGAUGACAGAGGUGGCUAUAGAGGAACCAUUAGGUCCGGCUAAGAGCCUAGAACUGGUGGAGCAGAAGCAUCCAGUUUUGCACAGGCA
rnacentral:lncRNA from 1 species